rnacentral:rRNA from 1 species
AUGUGUUCUAUUUGUGGGGUUGAAGAUGAAGACAUCUUUCAUGCUCUGGUGAGUUGUUCUAAAGCUCGUGCUCUUCGAAUGGAAGUAAGAGAGCGGUGGAAUAUUCCGGAUGAAGAGUUCUUCAAGUGCACGGGACCAGAUUGGUUAUUGAUUUUACUGGCGCAACUGGGUUUGCGGCAGAGGGAUCAAAUCAUGUUUCUUUUCUGGCGAGCAUGGCACUUGAGAAACGAUUUAAUUUUUAGGAAUGGGAAAGAAUCC